CUUCAGACAUCACCUACAGACCUCCUUAUUUCGGGGCUAAACUCCAUUCUUGACAGGGGAAUCAAACACAUUCUUCUUUGGCACCAAGCUAGGAGCAGCUGUGGAGCUGUUGGAGGAGGUUGUCCUGACAAAUCUUCAGAAAUUGACCUCAUUUGCCAGGGUAGCUCCAAAGUUUGGAAGCAGCUCACAGCUUCAAUUGGCAACAGAUGUUUGGCUCUGGCUAAAAGGAUUGAAAUCUUAACCCUGGCUUUACACAUCUCCUUGACAUGCCACAGCUCUUUGGGGCUCAGGAACAGGAGCUGUGCCAGACCAAACCAAGCCUGACAGCAGAGCUGAAAGCAAACACCCAAAGCAUUCCAGAAACACUACAAAAUGUGGCUUGGGGAAGCUUAAAUCUGAGCCUCCUCUAACCAUGACAUCAAUAUAGCAGUCAUGACCUGCUUCAUUUAGGAGCUGAUGAGGAAGAAGAUGAGGUUCAAGUGUUCCACCUGAAGCAAGCCCAAAAGAUGGCCACUUUAUGGGGACCUAAGUGCAGUGAGGUAGCUCUCAGCUACUGCUCCUGGACUAUU